rnacentral:rRNA from 1 species
UACGUAGGGUCCGAGCGUUGUCCGGAAUUAUUGGGCGUAAAGGGCUCGUAGGCGGUUUGUCGCGUCGGGAGUGAAAACACGGGGCUUAACCCCGUGCCUGCUUCCGAUACGGGCAGACUAGAGGUAUGCAGGGGAGAACGGAAUUCCUGGUGUAGCGGUGGAAUGCGCAGAUAUCAGGAGGAACACCGAUGGCGAAGGCAGGUCUCUGGGCCACUACUGACGCUGAGAAGCGAAAGCAUGGGGAGCGAACAGG